CAUUCAGACACCAAAAGUCUAUAAUAUGGGGACACCACUCCCUUGGCUUUGGGACACCACUCCCUUGGCUUUGGAUGAAGAGCAGUCCAGGAACUACAGACUCCCCUGUGUGGUGUAGGGUUGUAUGCAGAAAGGAAGGUGUGGGAAGGAGCAGAGGGGUGAGCAUGGUGGAAUGGAGACAAAGCAAGACAAUUUUAGAGCUACUUCUAGCCCACAUGGGCCUCUUUGAAUAAAUAACAAGGUAUGUCCAGUCUAGUAAGAUGAAGCCCAUGCAAACCUGUACAACAGAGCACAGGCUCCAUUUAGUCUUCAUUCCUCCUCACUGUGCACAUUUGUACAAUAGGCAGCCUGGGAGAAACAAACACGGUUGUGUUCCAGACACUGUAAUGAUAAUCAGGGACAUUAGGAUUGCUUUGGCAGUGCUUAAUAAAUGCUUAGGAAUGGGGUCUAGCCUCAGCUGGCAGUUAUCAUAUGCCAGCUGCGCCGCAAAAGCAAGAAGCCAAAGGAAAAUGUCCAAUGAAUUUUCCUUUGAAUAAUUAUAUUGGACAUUGUGCUCAGUGACUUGUGUGUUUUGUGGGAAAACUGUAUGAAAAUAAUAUCCAAGGGCAGUGUUAAAAAGAAGUUAUUACUUAUAAUAACCGGAAGGAACUUAGCACUUAAAGACUAAACUAUAUUUUAAGCUACAGUCCUAUUAUCUUUAUCUAGCAAAUUCAUAUGAGCAGGAGCAUAUUUUAAUUAAGAGAACCAACCUCUGGAACCAAAUAUGAAAUGCACAGAGAAAUCAUGGAAAAAUAACUUCCUUCUUCUAUUAAAUGUCAUGAUACAGUCAAAGUCUAUUUAUUUAAUUUGCUGUUUUCUUUUCCUUUAUUUAAAUUCUUUGAGAAUUUCAUACACAUAUAUAUGUUUUUAUUAUUCUUUUUUUGAGAUUAUAAAUAUAGUUCAUUAUUUAUCCCUUCCCUUUAUUCCUUUCCAACCCUCUUAUUCAUCCCUUCUUUUGGAUUAAUGGCCUCUUUGAUCAUUAAUUUUUCUCAUGUACAUACAUAUGAAUAUAUGCAUAUGUAUUCAUAAAUACAAAAUGGCACCCUGCUCAGUCUGUGUAAUAGUGCCUGUACAUGUGAAUAUGUUUUUAAGGAUGGCCAUUUGGUAUUAGAUAAUCGUUUGCUGUACUCUUCCUAGGGAAAACUAUUUCUCCCACUCUCUGCAUUCUUUAAUUUUCUGUAUUUCUUUGUGUGUUUUCAUCACAUCUAUAUCCACUCCUCUUUCAACUCCACUGGAACAUUCCCUCCAUCUUCUUCCCUACUGGAACCUGCCAGGAGCCAUAUCCCUGAAGAAAACUGACUAACCAUCUCAAAGAAGCUAUCAAUUGACAAUAACUUUUCAGUUAAUGGUUAGCCCUCAUGAAGUUCUCACCAAAUGGUUUGUUCACAGGACAAUUUUAUUUCAAUAUUUUAUUUAUUAAGCAGUUACUCAUAUUCCUUGUUUCAGAAUAAAAAUCAUUAUUUGUUUCUAAAUU
rnacentral:lncRNA from 1 species